GAGUGGGGACUGGGGAGCAAGGGGUUGCAGUGCGAGGAAGGACAAGAAUGGAUCGUUUAAUGGAAACUCAAGAACAUUUUUAGCGUUAAAGUUUAGAAUAUUUGCUUUAGCCAAUCUGGGGAAGAUACAAGUUUAAAACAAGAGAAAUUAACCCCCCUAAUUUCUUCCUCCACAGUGCUUGUCACUGUACGAGGACACUUAGGACGAGUGAUAAAAGGCAAAGUCCGUGGUUAGCCAAGGGAUCAGCAAAAACAUUCCUUUGAAAGAAGAGUCAUGCUUCAACAAAACACAUUUAGGACCAAGAGUACUGAGUCUGCAAUAAAACCACUUUAACUUCGCCUGCUAGGGAUAUCAAGAGUGAUGUUUACAGCCAAAUGACAAAACUUCCUCCCAUAUAUACGCAAGCCAUCUGUCCUCUGUAAUGGAGCGAAGGGCAAUUUUUGGGCUUGUUUACAGUUCUUUAAAAUUUAAGGAGACAAGUACACAGUUCAACAAAUAAAAGGACCAAGUUGAUGGAGUAGUUGUAGUAGUGCUAGUAUUCGUAAUUUGCUACAACUAAAUCUGAGCAAACUUAAUGGCUUGCUUAGUCGGUGUUGGGCUGAUCUUAUAGUAAUUCUGCAAGUAUUCCCCGACCACUACUUUCUUAUAUCCGUGAUGAUUAUUGUUGGACUUCCCAUCUUUGAGAGGUUCAAUCUCAGCUUCUGAAGGCGGGUUGUAGAACAAUGCAACUGAAAAGCGCUCGACAUCCCUUUGGGUAACAGCGCGAUGCCAACUGCUCCUGAAGCGCCCAUUGCUCAAUAUCUCCAUCAGGUCUCCCACGUUGAUUAACAAUGCAUCGACCGGCCACUGGACCGUGAGCCAUUUCAUGUCCUUGAACACUUGGAGUCCUCCAGAGGCUUCAAACUGCACCAAAACGGAGAGGGCACUAGCAUCAGAAUGUUCAGUUAUUCCCAGAGCUAAGUCAGGCCUCGGGCAUGGUGGGUAGUAGUUCACUCUGACGUUGACUUCGCUCUUUUCCUCGUCGAACUGUUUUAUGAAAAUUUGCCCGUCUACUGAUAAGGUUUCGGCAAGAGCAUGGAGUAACGAAUCGCAGAUUUUCCUUGCUCUCUCUACAAAUUUCUCCACUGCUUCCCUGCAAUUCAUGGUUAUGAAUGUACUCAGAGGUGCUCCGGCCGGGAGAUGAAAGAAAAUUUUCAAGAAUGUCACGUAUAUUCAGGUAGCUUAUGUGUCUGAGCAGUCCAGGCCAAUGACCAUUUUCCCCUUCAAUUUUUCUUGAAUUGAAAUAAUGUCUCUUAUAAAUGUGAGAAAAUAAGUAGGGAAAAGAAAAGGAAAGGCACCAAGACCUACAUAAGAUGAAAGAGUAACAAUAGGAUUCGAUCAGUCUAGCAAUCUAGUUUGAUAACACUGGCUAUGGUUGACUUGAUCGUACGUCUUCGCUAAAUAAAGAAGUUUAACUAACAAAAAUGAGAACAAGGAGUUUUUAAAUAGAAAGAGACGAAUUAAUGAUCAUGCUAAGUCGAUGAUGAUUGAAGGCUGUGGACAGUAUAGAAUGAAAUUGUUGACUAGUGCUGUAUAAAAUUAUCAGAUCUAUUCAACAGUAGUUUGUUUUUCUCCCAUUCUAUGUGCGUGGGUUUCUUUUUUCUCCCCAUUUGCUGAUAGGGUUUCCCUUUCGCAUUAGUGCCUGUUCUGGUAAACUUGUUCACUCAAAUAUGGAAAAUGAAAUCCUGAACCAGCUCUAUCUCUAUUUUCAACUUAGUUGAUGCGGAGAAUAAUCCUAAAUGUUUUAAGCGUGGCACCAUCGGUCGCAUAGCUAAGAAAUGAGGAAGAGAAAAUGUCAGUACCUAUGUCCGAGAUCUAUUUAACAGUAAGGGCAUUCGAAUGUUGAGAUCCAGUCCAGGCUUCCUUCCUAGCUACUAACUUAAGUUCAUCUCCAUUUGUAGGUUAAUUGAUUUCUAUCUUAAACUAGCUCACGUGUUUUCCUCACGUAUUUAAAUUGGGUUACCUAAAGUAGAUGUAUAGUGGAUGCCAGCAAGCAAUUCACUAAUUCCUGUAAUAUAACUAAUAUAGAAGUACUGUGUGAUGCAUAUUAUACUAUUAUUAGGAAUUAUUAACCAAUAAUGCAAGAGAGACAUGUCAUGAUCGUUGCCAGUUUGAAAAAGCAAAGCGGUAUGUUUGAUAAAAUUGAAAUUCGAAAACUAAAAUUUGAAAUUUGAAAUCUGAAUUCAUUAAUUUAUUGAAUUGUUAAAUAUUAAAUCAAAUAUAUUUGAGUGUAUAUCACAUUCAGUAAUAAGUGAAUAACUUAUUACUUAUUUUUGGAAACAAGUUUUGCUUAAAAAAUUCAGUGACAUUUAAUCAAUUCAGAUAUUUAAUUUUUGAUUAAAAAACACGUCUGAACAUAUUAAGAUUUGAAUCUAUUAAAUUUAAAUGCUGAAUUGGAUUAUCAAAUAAGAUAAUAUUUUAAAAGGCGAGUGUUAGACAUGCAUUUUGCGUUCGCCUAAACAAUAUGAAAGCCCUCACGAGUUUUUUUUAGUAUUUAAAAAUAUAAAAAUACAAUAAUAAUAUUAUGAAAGGGUUCUUUUAACCGGUGCCUAUCAAUCACUCGUUAAUGUAUCUAAAUUUUAUCUAACCUAUCAUGUAUAUACACAUACGGACAAUUAUCACCCUUUUUAGCAUUUAUAUACUUUCCCUAAUUAAUCUUACAUUUUCAAAAAUCCAACCCCUAAAGUACAUUUGAACGAGUGGCUAAUGCACAAGACUUUUUAUAAAAAAAUAAAAAUUAUUAAUAAAUACAAGGAAUUGAUAAAAUUAAGAAAAAUUACAAAACAAAUAUUAUUGUUAUCAAACGCAACUCUGACCCACAUACUAGUCAUUUAGGCUUAGUUUGGGAGUUUAGGACAAAAAACAAAAUAAUUAUAUUUUGACAUCAAAGAAACAAGUUGUGAAUGCUUUUAUUUUAUAUUUUUCCCAAACAAUUCAAAAAAUAAAUGAAAUUCUUCCUCGAAAAAGACUGAACAAUAAUAAGGACUAGAAACAAAGAUAAGAAUAAAGAGUAGAAAAAUUAAAAGUUGAAACUUAAAGAAAAUGCUCAAAAUGCAGAACUCCUAGAAGUCCAGGCAAUGGCGGAGUAAUAAAAAAUUCUCAAAGGGGGGCAAAAUUAACACAUAUUUUUUUCUUAAUUUUUAAAAAAAUAGGACAUGUCAGUAUUCACGUAACUAGUAGAAUUAAUGCAUUUAUUUUAUAAACAACGUAGAAAAAAAAUACUCUAAUUUACUCAUAAAAUUAUCAUUUUACUUGAAAAAGCACACAAAUCCAUUUAAAAUUGCUCACAACGGGUCUUCAUGGUAUGAUAAUGAUGUACAAUCCUUUCAUUUUAACGUGUAAAAUACAUAUUUUUCAAUGUAAUUAGCUAAACAAUCAUUAAUUAUAUAAGAUUCUAAAUGAAUGAGUUAAAAACUAUACGAAGCUCCAAAGGACUAAAUGAGUGAAACAUAUAACAAACAAGGCAUAAAUUACUGCAACUUCCAAGGGAAUCAAAUGGCUAGAUUAUAGAUUUAGAAAUUUUUUAGUUAUUUAAUACUAUUUUUCAUUAAAUUCCAAAACUUGUCCAAUGCAUACUUCACUUCUUAACAUUUCAGUGGGGGCAAAUACAAAUAUUUUUCUAAAUUGCAAAGGUAAAAAGGAAAAUUUUGGAGAGGGCAGUGGGCCCGUGCUCUCCCACCCCUCAUCUACCGCUAGUUUGGGCAGUCAGUCCUGAACGCCAAACAACACUUGCGACCCAUUUAAUUUAACAGUAAAUCUUAUAUACACUGACUGACAGUGUAUAUAUUAUCACCGUUUAAUUCAUGAUAUAUGUGCAAAAAUUCAAAUUCAAAUUCUGUAUAAUUGUCAUCCAUCCAACGUUGUUGAUAGUGUAUAUAUUGUUAACGUAGAAAAGAUUAAUCCUUAAUUUAAACUAGUCUUUAUGACAUGAACAAUAGUCAAUCAAAAAGGACAACCCUUUCUUUGUUGAUGAGUUAUAUGCAGAAUGUUCAAUGUCAUUGAUCAGGUCAAGAAACAUAAGAAUGUCCAGGGCAACGAUGCUGUUUGUGGAUAUGUUUUUUUUCUGGGUUGUUGUUUCCACAGAAGAAGUCAACUUACCUGAAGUUCGGAGGAUUUUGAGGCCAGACACGGAGUCCUUGAGUAGCAUCCCUGGGAGCAGCUUUCAUUGUUAAACGAUCGAUCCAAUCCAAAGGCUGAUCUUCUGACUUCACAAAGUUCCGCCCAUACCCCAUGUUGUCAACACUAAGAUAUGAUCCAACGCUAGCUUUCUUUUCUUGAAAUGACAGCCCAAAGAACCCUUUCACCACAUCCUUCACCUCAUCCAAAAUUUUGGGCUCUAUUCCAUGCUUUUCGAUCAAGAACAUACCCCAAUCCUUAGCAGCACCGGCCAACUUGGUUAACUCCCGGUCACGGUCCUCCAAAUCGUCCCCCAAUUGAAUUUUGCUCAUGUCUAUACAAGGAAGAGGAUCAGGAACUUCAAUAUGGCUAAUUUCAUGCAGUUCUGAAGAUGGUGCAGCGAUUGGAUCAGCUGUUGGCGACACCCUGAUGAACCUCUCGGGCAAGAAAUCGAGCCGUUGACGCGCAAGUUCCUGCACCACAGGCACACUAGAAUUUCGUAGCACGCCGUUUUGGUCUAUGAACUUGGCUUCAUGGAAAGCUACAUGGUUGUUGAUGUCCAUGGCCAUUUUUCCUUAUCAGAGGAACCGAUUAUCUUUUUUAUGUGCUUGUCCUUAACUAAUGGCGGCGUAGGGCUCGGUUGAUUUUACGUAAGGGAGGAAAAAUCGUAGGAAGCCGACAAAAUUACAUAACUCAGCACUCAGCAGCUCGAUCAACAGUAAAACCUCUGUAAUGGCAAUUAUCAAAGUAUCAUCACUUAGACGUUGACACGUGACUACUAAUGAAUAUUGGUACACCAACCUUUUGUAAUUGUUAAACUCAAACAAUUUAUCUUUACUGCCUUUGUACAUAUUGCUUUGCAAUACACUUUUGAUUAUAUACUACCUAAAAGUUUACUAUUAACUUACACUAUUUAUUUCAUUCAAAUGACUAAUAAUAUUUUUGGACGAAAAGGAUACCAUCAACUAAAGUUUGUCAAGUGCACUUAUCAUUCAAAGAAAUACUCAUUUAAUUAAUUAAAGUUUUAUUUUAUUUUAUAAAAAUAAGAAUUAUUCUAUUAAUAAAAAAUAUUAAAACCACAUUUAUUAUACCUCCUGACCCCGCUUAGGUUGCCUUUGGGUCAGUUUGCUGAUGCCUGCUGCGUGUCUGAUAUUAUUUGUGUGUGUGUGUGUUUCAUUCCGUUUCGAAAAAAAAAAAAAAAAAAAACUAGGUGAAUGGCCAAUCUAAAAGAGAAAUUUCCUAUUUUGCUUCAUUAUUUAGAUGACAUUUGAGAUUUCAAUCUUUUCAAUUACUGGGAUUAGUUCAAUGACAAGAGGAAGACUCUCAGAGUUCUCCUUGCCGUCAUUCAAAUUUUGGGUUUAACAGUUGGGGAUAGAAAAGGUGUGGCGUGGAAUAAGGAUUAAAAAAAAAAUAGCCUUUGCAAUGAUAGUUAUUAUCUUAAUGUCCAAUCACAAAUUUGUCUCAGUGUGGACUAAUUAUAUAACAAGUUUAGUAGUUAAUUUUUAACCAAUGUGAUACCGUUAAUGAGAUAAAUAGAGACUUCAUAAUCUUAUUUGAAUUGUAUUUAAUGUGAGGUUAAUGUGAUUUACACUUUAGUUUACGAAAGUAGUUGGUCCAAUGAGAUAAAUUUUCUCCAGUGCAUCCGGUAGGAGCCGGUUUUCUAAAUCUUUUUUUCUCGUAAGACGGCAAGAAUUGCCUUAAAAAUUGCCAACUGAACUGUAGCUAUUGCAGGCUUUGCAGCAUAAUUGUAUCAACAACAACGACAUCACUUCUAGGGGUGGCAAUGGGGCGGGGGUUGUCAAAUAACUUCCCCCGUCCCCCGCCCCGCCCCCUCGUUUCCCCUGCGGUCCCCCGCGAAAGAUUUCAAAAUAGACCAUUCAGAGGCUUACGGUACAAUUUGCCAAAAAAAAUUUCAUUGAAUCAUACAACACACGAAAGAUAAAGAAGAAAAGCAUCAUAAACCUAUCAGCAACAAGCAAACCUUUUGUGUUCUGAAACACCAUUAGGCCUGCCGAGAUUGCAUACACAACCUAUUCUAGUUUCGCAAGUUUUCAGUGGGAAGACUGGUCACACCACUCCCUUUCAAUGCUUUGAUAUUUCAGUGGGAAACCCGGCUGGCUAUCCAGGAAAAGAAGCCGUGAGAUGGGUUUAAGAAAAAGAAAGAAGAUGGCAAAAGGAACGGGGAGGCUGAGUCUUUGGCGUUUGUCAAUUGUAAGUGAGGGUGCAGGAAAUUUAGGAUUGUCUUGUGUGUGUCUAUAUAUAUAUAUAAUUUUUUUUUAUUCUAUGCGGGGGACGGGAUCGGUGUAUGUUGCCCCACCCCCGGCCCCGUUUUAAGGCGGGGGAAAUAUUUUGCCCCCGCCCCGCCCCAUUUCUAUUCCGCGGGCACCCAUCCCCAUUGUCAUCCCUAAUCACUUCAACAAUACUGUAAGUCGAACGAAACCCGGAGAAGCAUUAGAACGUCCGAUUUAUGUGGGCCGAAUUCAUCGACCAAUUUGGUGAGCCCAACAAAUCUCAGACCGUUGGCUGUUGCCAAUUAAGAGCCCAGUGGCGACACCUUCCAGUCUACCGUAGGUUUUGGCUUUUACAAGAGCGUCACCGUUUCACCGCAAUAAAAUGAAGAAACAAACAGGACGCUGAAGCAAAAUUGUGCUACUACUUCGUUAACUUUCAUGUACCUUCUUACCCUUAAAAAACUAAUAGCUAGUUUGGGAGUUUAGCAUAGAAAAGAAAAAAAAAAGAAAAGAAGAGAUUUUGACGUUGUUUAGGUGUUUAAAGAAAGAAGUGGAAAGAUUUUGGAUAUAUAUAUAUCAUUAAAAAUUUGUUCACUAAUCAUUUAAGAACACAAUUGGCACUUUGAAAAUUUUUUUUUGCCACUCUUCCACUUUCCGUCCAAAUCAGGCCAAAAUGGAGCCUCAAAACGGAUCUGAUCAAAUCAGCUCAUUUCUCUUCUUUUUAGACGUCAAGAAUCUUCCAAUCGGUGAAAAAUUAAUUCCCUCUAUCACUUUCUUUUUUUUUUUUUUUGGCCAAAUCUCAUCUCCCAAACUCACUAUAAAAGAAAAAUAACUGUUUUUUUUUUUGGGUAACCUUGGAUUUACAAAACUGGUCUUAUUGUGGUCCUAAAAAAGAAGAAAAAAAAAACGUUGUGUUUAUUGAAUGUACCGAGUCGGUAGUACGCUUGUGCUUAUUUGUUCACAGGUUUCAAGUGGAGCAAACCCAAUCCACUUGGAUGAGAAGGGUUGCAAGAAAAACAAAAUAGGCGCCCUCUUGGGUCGCUGCAUCGUCCACCGGCUUGCAAGCGAUACAAAAUAGGCGGCCUCCUUUUCCUUUCCUUUUUUUUUUUUUUUUGAAACAGAAAUGAGAAUCAGGAUCAACUCCCAGCCACACUGGCCCGGAACUGGUCCAAAGUAGCGGCUAUCUCUUUUUUUGUUUUUCAGGCCUGAAUGGCAAUAAAAUUCCUGACCAUAAAUUUGAGCCCCGUCCACAAAUAAGGGGCAAAAAUGGAACGCGAGGCCAUCUUGGUCAUUUCAGAACUGGAAAAAUUGGGUAGACCGGGUCUAACAGCUAGAUUGGAGACCCUGUGAACAAGAAGUAGCCACGUGGCUGCUUCGAAUUUUAAUACCAAAAGGCUAUUAAAAAUAUAUUAGAUCUUCCAUUUUCUACAUCUCUUUCUUCCCACUAGAGAACUCUUAGAACCUCAAGAUAAAACUUUGCAAGAUACAUGAGAGCUCUACUUAGAUAGUUGAGGAGUUUCAAUUGAGUCCGCCGCCGCACUUUCUUGGGUGGCGAUAAUAGUUGCGGCGACAACAACUGUGAGACAGGGUGUGGGAGUGGAAUUGGCAAAGGGUUUUAGGAUGUAACUUCAUUUUUUUGGUUAAUUGAUAGGCAGAUUUCAAUCGAACAUUCAAAGUUGCAAAAGGAAAUUUUGUGCAUGGACGUAGCAAAAUCACAAGGAAAAAAGUUUUGUACUUUUUUUUGGGUGUAGUUAACACCAUGUUGUUGUCCUAAAAUUCCAAGGAAAUUUCAUCUCAGAAAAUGCGGAAAAGCCUUCAAUUGGACAUCCUCCACUUCCUUGCAUAGCAAAAAACUUCUUAUCGGGAUUAAGAUUAUGCAGUUGUUUUAACUUCUGAAUUCCUCCUCUCAUUUUUUAAACAACUCUCCACGUACAAACUUCGAACUUAGGGACGUUAGAUCUGGAGGGUAUUCAGGGUUUUGUUUUGGUUGCAGAGAAUAAUUGGAAUUCUUCCCAAAGCCUCGCACUUUUUCCUUUCUUUCUUUUUUUUUUUUUUUUUUUUUUUUUUUUUUUGUUGAUAAAUAUACAUGAGAGAUUAGUCGACGGCGUGGUUGCUUAAGAACCACCCGAUCCAUAAGUGCCGCCAUGCACCCAAGCUGUUGCCAAUUAGAUCACCGCUCCCACUCGUCCCGAUGCAGCGCUGGCAAAUUGCUUUCUGCCGUCACAACCGUGCGAGCUAGCAGCCAAUCAAGACAUUGGCCAAGCAGAAUACGAGUAAUCAUGGGAUAUUGGCAUAUUUUAUUGCCCCUGUUUAAAAGGCAAGAAGAUGUUUUGGGAGUACAUGGGCUUGAACAGCAAAACAUUUCUAUUGUUUGGAUACAAUAAAAUUAUUUUUUUAAAAAAAUCAUUUGAUUACUUUAUAAAUACAUUUUUCACUCCUCAUGCUUUUCCUAGUAUUGUUGCCCUCUUUAAGAACUAGUUAUUUUUUCCAUUUUGUUCUGGAUAUUUUGUCCGUGCACAUUUAAUAAAACUUCCAUAUCACUUGAGAUGGUCUCAACAAAUAUAGGAUUAGAGUGGAUCGGACAAUCAAGCAACCAAGAAGCCUAGUGGGCAUGGUGCCCAAGUUUAAACCUCUUUUGUUUUCGACUAAUCGUCAACUCUUAUACUACUUCUAUCUCUACUCGUGCUCCAAUAUAACAUGUCUAAGGGAGGACUUAGUUAGGUCGGAAGAUUAAAGGGGAUGAUUCGAAUUUUAUUACGGGUAUAGAUGUUUGAGAUUCCUGGCCUGCAAUCGGGCUUAGUACCUUAUAUUUUACCCGAGCCAAGUUGACUGGUGGCCCAAGAUUAAUAAGAGCACCAAUUAUCAAGUGAUGGUCCCAUGUAUGAGCUGGGAUAGGACACCGGCACCUUUUAAUGCCUCAAAUCAAGAUGUACGAGUCAUGCUCGUGCAUGCAUUCGAAGAAACAUCCAACUUCUUUUUAACUUCUUCUAACCAUUUUUUGCCGAUGAUAACAAUUCGAUCGGCUAUUAAUAACGAGUGAUCCAAGAGACAAGAGGAGCACAUGAUAGAGCUUUUAACGUUUGACUGGGACAGAGAGGGACGAAGAAACCAAAGCCACUGGCUAGUCGCACGAGCUGCAUCCCUUUUGAUUAAUUUGGCCGGCAGACAGCAGCGAACGGACUAUAUUUCAGUGGCGGUACAGAUAUAGUAAUAAUUUUGAUCAUGUUCAAAAACAACCCAUUAAUCAAUAACCCUUUGUUCUGGUGGCCGGGAAGUUUUCAAGUUCAAUAAACUGUGAAAUCUGCAGCAAUUUGUGUGUGUGCCCGUGUGUUGGCAGUGGCACUCCUUUCUAAAAAUCUUCAUGCGUCUGGUGUGUAGGAAUGCAAACGAACCGAAUCGAGUUGAAUUUUGGUCUAAUCGAACCGAGACUCAAGUUAAUUUUAAGAAAUUCGAACUCGAGUUCGACGAGUUCAAAACGUCAAACUCGAGCUCGAGUUAAAAAAAAUAAAAAAUAAUUAUUUUUUAACAAAUAAUAAAAUAUUAGGAAUAUAUAUGUAAUUUUAAUAUUAAAAUAAAAAUAAAAAAAUAUAUAAUUGAGCUCGCGAGCCACUCAACGAGUUUGAUAUUUUUGAACUCGAGUUCGAUAUUGAUCGAGCUUAUAUUUGAGCUGUUCGCGAUCGAUUCGUUUGUAACACUAGUCUCAUGUUUUUCUCCUUUGAGAUUAACACAUGUGCUUAUGUAAACAAAUCAAUUGUAUGCCCAAGUUUGCCUAUAAACAUAGCGGCUUAGGGUUUGCAAUGGUCUGCUUGGGGCAAAACCUAUUUCCUGUUAGCUUAUAUAUGAAUCUCUACUUAAUUGCGGCUUAAUCUUGGAAUCAAUGGGCAAAGAGGAAUUUAGCUAGCGAUGGUUAUUUUCGUUAGUAAACAAAUGUUUUGAUCUGAUCAAUGUUGAAGAACACAUGUACGUGCCUCAUUGUGCUUGUCAAUUCUGAGAGAAAGAAAAAAAAGAGGAUUAAUUUUCUAUUGAACCACAGAGAGGCAGAAUAUCGUUGGGAGGAGUUCCAACUUCCUUUUAGAAUUUGAUUUUCACGGGCACAGGGGAACGAGUAACCAGUGCACGUUGGAACGAGUAGCCCGAAAAAACACAACAAAUCUUGACAGGUUCUAAUUAAAAAAAUUAAGGGCAUAAAAAAGCAAAAUUAGAUUGAAAUGUGUGCGCACGUGCAGACAUGUGUGUGUGUGAAAUCUGUGGAAGCUCCUCCUAAUGCACACGUGCAUACAUGUGUGUGUGAGUGCGUGAAAAACUGAGAGCAGGAAAGAGGAAGAAGCUAAUGAAGGCCUAAAAGGGGAGAGAAGAUGGCUCCCAGAACCCUGCUCAGUGGUGUUCACUCACUGUGACUGUCACUGAGGCGGGCAGAUGAUUUUGCAGACUUUCUUGGUAAGUAGUAGUACUGCUGUUGACGAGGGCCGAUUUUUAAGACAUAAUCCGCUGUGUCUUAAGCACACCACAUCAGUUGUUCCUUUCAAAGCAUGACCAUUCGGACUGAUCAUCAGACUGAAUCUGCAUUCUUUUUUUUUUUUUUUUUUCUAUAUUACAUGUACAAUCCAAUGUGUAGGAGUAAUAUUAUACUAUACCAGGCCACUUGCGUUCAAUCCCAGUGAAUAUUAACUUCUUCAUUACUGCUUCUUUUGUUUUGUGGAGUCAGAUUUUUCUUGAACAACUAGCUAGCUAGCCAGCAGUCAAAGGAUGCCUUUCGUUGACUGAGUAUCUAAAACUAAAUCCCUUUUGCUUUCCUUAUUUAAUUAGUUGUCCAUGAUGGUCUACUAAAUCUGAACUACCCCUUCCUUCACCUAAAUCUAUCGAUAAAACACAAUACUAGUACUACAUGAAGAAACUAAUAAGCUGCAAUGGAUUUGGUAGAUGUACCAGAUAUAUAGGUCAAACGACACGUGGCACUCAACUCUCAAACGAAGGGGGAAAAAAAAAGAAAAAAGAAAAAAGAAAAAGAUUAACAAGAAUCCUACUUAUGGUUUUGUGUAGUAAUACUUAAAACAUGUGUAGUAGAAAAAUAUAUAAGGUGUCCGACUAUAAAGAAAAAAAGAAAAGAAAAGGAUGUAUAUAGAAAGGGCAGAGACAGAGAAAGCAAUAUAUUAGUACAUAGGUGCAGUAGAUAGUAAGAGAGAGUGAGUGAUAGGUGUCCAAAUACUGAGGAAGGGAAGAUGGAGGUGUACCGUAGCCUGUAAAAAGCAGCGUACAAUUCUGCCUCGCUGUCCAGCAUGUGAAGGAGUUGUGGUUCCGUUCUCCCAUUCAUUCAUUCAUUGAUUCAUUCGUUCAUUCAUUCCCUUUCUGUCUCUCUCUCUUUCUCAGCAUUUGCCAGUACUGUUGUUGCUACCAUUUAAACCCAAGCCCAACUGGCACCUUUUGGUUCACUCUCAUUGAGAGCCAGCCGAACGGGGUACGUCAGGACAAAACAGGUCUUAGAUUUGAGCCUGAUUCUCUCCUUUGGUCUUUUCCUCCUCCUCCUCCUCUUCUUCUGCUUUUUCUUCAGUACAGAGGAGCCAAAUUUAGCUGGUUUUCUCUCUUCAUUUUUUUUCUUUCCUCUCUUGAUUCACUUAGUCCAGAAAGAAAUAGUAACAGAAAAAAAUGGACUACUUUGUGGCUAGCACUCCUAAAUCAGAGUGCAGCAGCGGAUGUGAGUCUGGCUGGACUCUGUACUUGGGCAACUCCUUUAUUUCUUCGCAUAGUAAUAGAGAAAAUGGUAAUUUUGUUGAUGGAAAGCGUGGUUUUAGUGAAGAAAAGAGAAGUGAGGAAGAGGAGGAGGAUUUGUCAAUGGUUUCUGAUGCAUCUUCUGGACCUCC
rnacentral:lncRNA from 1 species